AUUUGUUGAUCCUGCCAGUAGUCAUAUGCUUGUCUCAAAGAUUAAGCCAUGCAUGUCUAAGUUCACACCCUUGUACGGUGAAACCGCGAAUGGCUCAUUAAAUCAGUCGAGGUUCCUUAGAUGAUCCAAAUUUACUUGGAUAACUGUGGUAAUUCUAGAGCUAAUACAUGCUGACCAGCUCCGACCCCUCCGGGAAAGAGCGCUUUUAUUAGUUCAAAACCAGUCGGGUUCUGCCCGUCCUUUGGUGACUCUGGAUAACUUUGUGCCGAUCGCAUGGCCUCGAGCCGGCGACGCAUCUUUCAAAUGUCUGCCCUAUCAAAUGACGAUGGUACGUGAUCUGCCUACCAUGUUAGCAACGGGUAGCGGGGAAUCAGGGUUCGAUUCCGGAGAGGGAGCAUGAGAAACGGCUACCACAUCCAAGGAAGGCAGCAGGCGCGCAACUUACCCACUCCUGGCACGGGGAGGUAGUGACGAAAAAUAACAAUACGGAACUCUUUUGAGGCUCCGUAAUUGGAAUGAGUACACUUUAAACCCUUUAACGAGGAUCUAUUGGAGGGCAAGUCUGGUGCCAGCAGCCGCGGUAAUUCCAGCUCCAAUAGCGUAUACUAAAGUUGUUGCGAUUAAAAAGCUCGUAGUUGGAUCUCAGGCAUGGGCGCGCGGUCCGCCUCACGGCGGUCACUGCGUGUUUUCUUUCCCAUCCUACGCUUCCCGGUUGUUCAGCCCAUGGUGCUCUUCGCUGAGCGUUUUGGGUGGCCGGAACGUUUACUUUGAAGAAAUUAGAGUGUUCAAAGCAGGCAUGUUGCCUGAAUAAUGGUGCAUGGAAUAAUGGAAUAGGACCUCGGUUCUAUUUUGCUGGUUUUCGGAACACGAGGUAAUGAUUAAGAGGGACAGACGGGGGCAUCCGUAUGCGGGCACAGAACGAACAGUUUGAUGAAGUCUACAAAACCAAGAUGGCCGACUACAAGUACCGUUUCCGCUACGAGUGAACACCCUCUUGAUCUCUGAACAGACACUUCCUUUUGGAUUUUCUCCUGGUUCUGCGAUCAUAUAAUUGUUUGUUCACAGCAUGGAGUACCGCUGUUGUUCGAUAUUUAACCAGAUUGGCAAAGCCUGCACUCGGUCUCUCCUAUUUGGUCGUUUUAUUCAGUGUGAAAAAUGCCAAAAAGCAAAAAGGAAAGAAACAGAUAGCUAAACAUACAAACUUUCAAACAAACAAAACUAAAGCACAGGCUCAGACGCACAGAGACACAGACAGACAAAGACACACACACACACUCUUGAAAAAAUAUGACUGUUGCUUACAAAUAUCCACAUGACACACAUAGCAUACACCCACACACACACACACACACACACACAAACACACACACACACACAACACACACACACACACAACACACACACACAAACACAACACACAACACAAAACACAACACACACACAAUACACAACACUUUUCUCAUUUACGAUGUCAUCAUGCGUCUAUGGUCCUUGUCUAGUAGAUAAGCGCGCAAGGCAAAUUUCAGGUUGUUGGUAAUAGAUAUAGUACUAUUCUAUCUGUCUCUCUGUCUGUCUGUCUCUCUGUUCGUCUCUAUCUAUCUCUCUCUCUCUCUUCUCUCUCUCUCUCUCUCUCUCUCUCUCCCCCUCUCUCUCUCUCUCUCUCUCUCUCUCACACACACACACACAUCUAUGAUGGACCAUCUGGAAACUAAUUGUUCUGUUCCUUGUCUUUUUUUCUGAUAGUAGUUGCUUCUCACAUAAAUUUAGCUGGGC
rnacentral:rRNA from 1 species